rnacentral:rRNA from 1 species
UACAUGGGGUGCAAACGUUGCUCGGAAUUAUUGGGCGUAAAGCGCGCGUAGGCGGUUACUUAUGUCGGAUGUGAAAGCCCUCGGCUUAACUGAGGAAGUGCAUUCGAAACUGGGUAGCUAGAGUACUAAAGAGGGUCGCGGAAUUCCCGGUGUAGAGGUGAAAUUCGUAGAUAUCGGGAGGAACACCGGUGGCGAAGGCGGCGACCUGGGUAGAUACUGACGCUGAGGAGCGAAAGCAUGGGUAGCGAACAGG